rnacentral:lncRNA from 14 species
UAAAGCCUGGAGGUCCUUGGCAGCUGAGCUAAGGGCUGUACACACAUAACAAGGCAAGUGGUCUUCUCUGCAGUUCAAGAAGAGAGAAACAAGAGCUGGAAACCAAGAACAGUUGUAUAAAGCACAGCAUGUGCUUGCUGAAGGUACAUUUUCUGGUGUUUUUUUUUCCACUUUUAUAGCAUACACAUUAUAUGGACUGAGCUUUGCCCUCUGGUUGUCCUAUUUUGUAGGGCAACGGCCUGGAAUAAAAAAGUUGGUUAUAGUUUGGGAUGUGUCACUCUGAGGAGAGAGAAAAAGGGAGGCAGGUGCAUCACUUCCUUUAAAGUGUGUUUUGUGGUUUUCUAUCCCUGGGAAAGCUGAUUUUAUAACCCAAGGCUCUGAAUCCCAAAGUGGCAAAGGAAGGACCCCUGGGUUUCUCUAUGAACCUCUGACAUUACAGCAAAGACUGUCUUAACAAUCAGAUAGGACAAUUUUCAGGUUAAAAAGAGACAUUGGUUUUGUGCUGCACUUUCUGUUUUGUUUGGUUUUUGUCUACUCCUCAGUCCAUUCUCUUAGAUUUUCUGUUUCCAAAUCUGAACAAUAAAAAUAUUAAAUGAUUGCUACAGUGGGAAGUAGUGCAUCAGAAAUCUAAAGCAAAAAAGGCAGCAUGGUUUGUUUAUCCUCUAAUUAAAGGUAUAUUUUUCUUUAAAAUACAAAAAAAUCUUGUUUGUAGACUGCUAAAUACCCAAAAUCCUGAACUUCAGUGGGAAUACUUUUGAAACAGCUAUGAUCUAGAACUCUGGAUAAUUUACUGUGGCUACUUCAUUCUGUGAUCUGUCAAAGCCACACUGCAGUAAUUGAAGCUGAAGCUGCUGAGCCACUGAACUGCAUGAGACAAACGGGUCAAUGUAUUUCAGCAGAGAAAAAGGGUUUGAUCAAAGUUCUGUGCGUUAUCAGAAGUAAUUCCCUCUUGUAACAGGAGGCUUCCUGCUGAUACACAUGUUUUUAACAGAUACUGAAGCCUAUUUUCUAUUAUUUUUGCAGGAGGAUGUACUUCUGUUCCACAGCCCAUCCUUUAGUAGAAGGACUGCAAGCCUACUGGUGCUGACAGCAGAUGGCUCAGAAUAUUCUCACAGGAAAGUGUGA